UUACGGCCACAUCACGUUGAAACACCGGUUUCCGUACGAUCAUCGAAGUUAGGCAACGUCAAGCCUGGUCAGUACGAAGAUGGGUGACCGCUUGAGAAUAACAGGUGAU